GUGUUGUUAAUGAGUUUAGUGUUAGACAAGAUUGUUGGAGGUGAUAUCGUGCGUGAGGAGGUGGUUGGCGGCGGGUUUCCCCGUACCGCCAACAAAGCCUCCACGCGUUCGCGUUACAGUUCACACAAGAUUGGUUGGGGGUCGCCCUUACGGGCUCCACCCCGAAUCACUGAUGAUCCUUCCGCAGGUUCACCUACGGAAA
rnacentral:misc_RNA from 1 species